GGAUGGACACCAUUGGACAGUAUAUCAGUAAUGUCUUACUUAAAGUAAACUAAAUGAUUAUGAUACAAAACUAGGCAUGCAGUAUUAAAAAGGAAUGCGUGGUACAUCUUUGAUCAACUGAAAAUGGAUAUCUAAAAUGGAAACAAAGAACAAAGUCCGCAAUAAAGGAUGGAGCUGCUGUUUUUUUUUUCUGUUGGUUGUGGAGCAGAUGUCAAAGAAAAUGCGUCAAGAGAAAAAAAUCUUCGGAAAAGAAGCAGCUAACAUAAAGUUAAAAUUGGAGAUCAGCUGAGAACGCAAGACUUAAAAACGAUAAAUGUUACAAAUAAAAUAGCAUGUUUUUCUUUUAGAUAUAUUUCAUUAAACAAUAUGUUUAUACU